UACAGAGGUCUCAAGCGUUGUUCGGAUUCAUUGGGCGUAAAGGGUGUGUAGGUGGCGCGCUAAGUCGGGUGUGAAAUUUCGGAGCUUAACUCCGAAACUGCAUUCGAUACUGGCGUGCUUGAGGACUGGAGAGGAGACUGGAAUUCAUGGUGUAGCAGUGAAAAUGCGUAGAGAUCAUGAGGAAAGACCAGUGGCGAAAGGCGGGUCUCUGGACAGUUUCCUGACACUGAGACACGAAAGGCCCAAGGGGGAGCAAAACGGGG
rnacentral:rRNA from 1 species